GUAUCUGUGUCGCUCAUGCAAGGGACAGCCAACGAAUUCCCUCGCCACGUUUUGGGGGCUUGCACACUUGCGAGUCCGUGGCCGUGUUUCCAAGGAUGUAUACAAGCGAAGUCGAGACUUUGGUAUUACAUACUCCCACUUCGCUUUUAUACAUUCUUGGAGACACGGCCACGGACUCGCAGGUGUGCAAGCCCCCGAAACGUCGCCAGGGAAUUCUUUGGCUGUCCCUUGCAUGAGCGACACAGAUAC
rnacentral:pre_miRNA from 1 species